CGCCUUGCCAGCCCGCUCAGAAACUCAAAGGAAUUGACGGGGGCCCGCACAAGCGGUGGAGCAUGUGGUUUAAUUCGAUGAUACGCGAGGAACCUUACCUGGGCUAGAACGCAUUCGGAAUCAGGCCGAAAGGCCUGCGCCAGCGAUGGCCGCUUGCGAGGUGCUGCAUGGUUGUCGUCAGCUCGUGCCGUGAGGUGUCGGGUUAAGUCCCAUUAACGAGCGCAACCCCUACUGCUAGUUGCCAGCGGGUCAUGCCGGGGACUCUAGCGGAACUGCCAGCGUAAGCUGCGAGGAAGGUGGGAUGACGUCAAAUCAGCACGGCCCUUACGUCCAGGGCUACACACGUGUUACAAUGGCCGGUACAGAGGGCAGCCACCCCGCGAGGGGGCGCGAAUCCCGAAAGCCGGUCCCAGUUCGGAUCGGAGUCUGCAACCCGACUCCGUGAAGCUGGAUUCGCUAGUAAUCGCGCAUCAGCCACGGCGCGGUGAAUACGUUCCCGGGCCUU
rnacentral:rRNA from 1 species